CAUGCAAGUCGAACGGUAACAGCAGAGUUUGUUCUGGCUGACGAGUGGCGGACGGGUGCGUAACGCGUGGGAAUCUACCUUAUAGUGGGGGAUAGCCCGGAGAAAUCCGGAUUAAUACCGCAUAAGCCCUAUGGGGGAAAAGGGGCCUCUCUUUGGAAGCUCUUGCUAUUAGAUGAGCCCGCGUAAGAUUAGCUUGUUGGUGGGGUAAUGGCCUACCAAGGCGACGAUCUUUAGCUGGUCUGAGAGGAUGAUCAGCCACACUGGGACUGAGACACGGCCCAGACUCCUAUGGGAGGCAGCAGUGGGGAAUAUUGGACAAUGGGCGCAAGCCUGAUCCAGCAAUACCGCGUGUGUGAAGAAGGCCUGAGGGUUGUAAAGCACUUUCAAUUGUGAAGAAAAGCCUUAAAUUAAUACUUUAGGGUCUUGACGUUAACUUUAGAAGAAGCACCGGCUAACUCCGUGUUAGCAGCCGCGGUAAUACGGAGGGUGCAAGCGUUAAUCGGAAUUACUGGGCGUAAAGCGCACGUAGGCGGUUAGGUAAGUCAGAUGUGAAAGCCCCGGGUUCAACCUGGGAACUGCAUUUGAUACUGCUUAACUAGAGUAUAGUAGAGGCAAGUGGAAUUCCAGGUGUAGCGGUGAAAUGCGUAGAUAUCUGGAGGAAUAUCAGUGGCGAAGGCGACUUGCUGGACUAAUACUGACGCUGAGGUGCGAAAGCGUGGGGAGUAAACAGGAUUAGAUACCCUGGUAGUCCACGCCGUAAACGAUGUCAACUAGCCGCUGGGAGCAUUUAAGCUUUUAGUGGCGCAGCUAACGCAUUAAGUUGACCGCCUGGGGAGUACGCGCGCAAGCGUAAAACUCAAAGGAAUUGACGGGGGCCCGCACAAGCGGUGGAGCAUGUGGUUUAAUUCGAUGCAAUGCGAAGAACCUUACCAGCCCUUGAUAUCCUGCGAACUUUCUAGAGAUAGAUUGGUGCCUUUGGGAACGCAGUGACAGGUGCUGUAUGGCUGUCGUCAGCUCGUGUUGUGAGAUGUUGGGUUAAGUCCCGCAACGAGCGUAACCCUUGUCCUUAGUUGCCAGCAUGUAAUGGUGGGAAUUCUAAGGACUGCCGGUGAUAAACCGGAGGAAGGUGGGGAUGACGUCAAGUCAUUAUGGCCCUUAUGGGCUGGGCUACACACGUGCUACAAUGGCAAGUAUAGAGGGUUGCAAUCCCGUGAGGGGGAGCUAAUUUUACAAAGCUUGUCUUAGUCCAGAUUGGAGUCUGUAAUUCGACUCCAUGAAGUCGGAAUCGCUAGUAAUCGUAGAUUAGUAUUGCUACGGUGAAUACGUUCCCGGGCCUUGUAUAUACCGCCCGUCACACCAUGGGAGUGGGUUGCAAAAGAAGUGGGUAGCUUAAUAAUGGGCGCUCACCACUUUGUGAUUCAUGACUGGGGUGAAGUCGUAAUAAGGUA
rnacentral:rRNA from 1 species